rnacentral:lncRNA from 1 species
UGAUUGUUUUUAUAUAUCAUAUUAUGAGGGAUCCCAAAGCCUGAGGAGGACCCCCAGAUUUAAAAAGUAGGGAUUCCUUUGGGAACCUUGUUCAAAUAAGUUAGUGUCUAACCCUGUAGACUGCUCACCUGGCUGUGAAUUAAAUAAAUUUGAUGGAUGAUGUGAUGGUAAGUUGGUUAUGAUAUAAGAUUGUCCCACUGACUUUACCUUAAAGGGUAACUAUUUUAUUUAAAUAGUUUUGGCAAUAUUUUUCAAUUUGUUUUUCAGAAAACCUUCAGUAAAGACAACCUAUUCAGUUCCAUUUCAAAGUCAUAUGUAAAGGUAGAAAUUCGCGUUUUACUGAGGCCACCCCAUGUCCUUUGUUUGGCCAAAAAUGUCACCUCCUAUGCAAAUUUGCGCAUUUUUUGAGUGUUUUACAAGAGUUUAGCAAAUGUUUUAAUGCACAGAAGGCAAAAAAAGCACUACUUCAUUUAAAAUGCCACGUAUCAGACACAACAAAUCCAUCAUGAUUUCAUGUCUAAAUCAUACAAAUACAGGAUCUGAUCCGCACCAGAUUUGGUGAAAUUUACCAAAAUAAAAAGAAAAUCUGAAAAAAAGUCUCUGAUGAUGUUUUCAUACUGUUCACUGGAUAUAAAUUUUGAACAUUAAAUAUGUGUCCAAUUUUUACAAAAAUCACACCUGAUAGCUUUACUAUGACCUGUAACUCACUUUGUCACAAAUGAAACAAACUUAUUAAGGUUGUCUCCCUUCCUUCUUGUGAUAUUCAGUCCCAGUUGAGGAUGUACAUUACCACUUACCAACAGAAAUAUGAAAAACAAACAUUUUGAGUUCACUUUUGUGCACCACAAUUGUAGAAUAGUAACUGCUCUUCUGGCAGAAGUGGGCAACAGAUACUGAAUAAUUUCACAUUUGGUUAAAGUUACCAUAUGGAAUCCAAUUCUUUACUAUUUGGAUAAAUAAAGUUCAGCAUAAUUGUUAUCAUUAUAUGUCUAUUUGCAUGUAAAUAAAGAAGGCCUUCUUGAGGUUUAUUAUCUGAUUGAUCAUUUGAAUGCUUAGAUGUUUAACCAUUCAUGUGGUCCGAAUCCUACACAUCUGUAUUCUGAACCAUUGUAAAUCAGACAAAAAAGCAUGUUUUGGCCUUGAUUAUUUGAUAAACAACUUAUACAGGGGUGGUAUAGUACGUCAUCAACAGGUGUGCGCAAUACUUCCCGAUGCGGCUUUUUUGUGUCAAAACACCUCGAUUCGUGACCAAGUAUUCGACACAGCUGUUCGGGGACAACGAAAGAGGAAUGUAUUUAGUAUUAUGCCAACGAAAUGUUCUGAUGGGAUAUAGAUGUGCACUGGGAAAGAACAAGAGCGAAUAAAACUAAUCAAGACAAGGGGUAUCGAGUGAAUCUACACAACUGAAUUGAAAGAGAUCAAAUAUUUAAAAAUGACUAACGUUUAGAUAUUUACGCGGCUUGCAAAUCAUAGUGCACUCACUUGUAUUAUAAAACGCACGAUCAAUGUUAGUGAGCUUUGACAGAUGUAGAACAAUUUUACAUGUAAUGGCAAUUAUUUUGCUCAGUUUUCGUAAUUACUGCUGUGUUAAGAGAUUAUUUAAAUUUGGUAAUUUUAUUGGAUAUUUUAUGCAGACUCUUGCAUAUGUGAAGCCGUUGUAACAGUUGUUAUCAGGUUAAAGCAUCAGUAUAUAUUCUGCUAAGUAUUUUGCAGCUUGAAAAUUACAGAACAGAUUUUUAUGAACUUGUGCAAUACAUUAUGUCUUAUUGAUACAAAAAAAAACCAGAUUGUCAGAGAAUGAACAAAUAUUCCGAUUUUAACCAUUCAGAUAAUUUUUAAGAAUGUUACAAUGAUAUCACGAUAUAAACGAUAUCAAUCACACUAGUAUAUACAGAAAUGAUAUACAAAGAUAAUCUGCAUUUUACGAAUUCAAGAAAUAUAAAUUGUAUACUACAUGAAUAAUUUCAGAACUUUUGUUAUAAUUCUACUUUGGAAAUAAAAACAUAAAAGAUGA